GGAACCCACCCCAUUAGCAUGGUCUGCUCGCCCGGACUCCGCUCCCCUCCCUCCCCGUUUUCUGGCUCCUUGGAAGCUGAGGCUCCAUUGCUGUUUGUUUACUAUCUAUGCUUGGUGUUUUGUACUCAAGUUGUGUAAUGCCUGGGAAUGUGCUCUGUUUUAUUUAGCUAAGUUUUGAGAUAUGGGCAAUUUUUAUUUAACCAAUCUGAGCCAGCAUGGAUGGGUUUGAAAUUAAUCCACAAGAUCAAUCAAGGAGCUCAGCACAUGAGGUGCUGCUGGGAAAUACACACAUGUAGGAACGGUCCCUGCCCUAGAGCUAGGGAUAAAAGACGCAAACCCAAUCAACCAAUGGCCAUGAAAGAUUACAACCCUUCAACACCAGAAGAUUAGUUUAAAAGUCUAGGGGAUGCCUGACAACAUGUUUAACAAAAGCCACAAUAUGAGAGGGGUUUAGGGACUAAAUUCAAACCACAGUGGUAAGUGUUAUGAAAGAAAUAUCACUGGAGGAAUUUAGAAGUGGGCAGGCAAUGAGAGUCAGAGGGGUCACCGACUGCUUCAGAGAAGACGUAGAAUCUGGUGGCCCUUUGGACUAGUUGGGAGAGUCUUUCAGGUAAGGCAAGAGCAUGAAGAAAGGGGACAGUAUGUCCUGCCCUGGACAUGAGACUGACGGUUGGACGGCUGCUCUGGGACAUGUGGAAACACGGAGAGGAGGAUGGAAGGACUGGCACAUGAGACUUGGAGACAUUCUGCAAUCAGAAAGCGGAGGUCAAGGAUCUUGGAUUCCCUGAGUGCAGGUGAGAAGAGAGCCUGGAACAGGAACCUCUCUGGACUCUGCCUCUGCAGUGCCGGAAUGGCCAAGUCUCAUCACUUGGGGAAGCAUCAAGAAGCCCCUCCUCUCUGAUGUUUUUCUAUCCUGUUAGAUGCAUCAGUUCAGCUGUCAUGUAUGGAUGUGAAAGGUGGGCCAUAAAGAAGGCUGAGCACCAAAGAACUGAUGCUUUCAAACUGUGGUGCUGGAGAAAACUCUUGAGAGUCCCCUGGACUACAAAGAGAUCAAACCAGUCAAUCCUAAAGGAAAUCAACCCUGAAUAUUCAUUGGAAGGACUGAUGCUGAAGCUCCAAUACUUUGGCCACCUGAUGUGAAGACCGACCCCACUGGUAAAGACCCUGAUGCUGGGAAAGACUGAAGACAGGAGGAGAAGGGGGUGGCAGAGGAUGAGGUGGUUGGAGGGCAUCACUGACUCAGUGGACAUGAAUUUGAGCAAAUUCCAGGAGACAGUGAAGGACAAGGGAGCCUGGGGUGCUGCCGUCCAUGGGGUCACAAAGAGUCAGACAUGCCUUUGUGACUGAACAACAGCAACGUGGUAGCGAAAGAGGAAGGCUCCUUGCAUUAUUUCCCUGGGCUGGCUCUUAUGUGUGACCCACUCUGCCCAUUCCAGGUUUCAGCCUACACCAUUAUGUGAACUCGUGGUUAUAUGAGAUCAAGAUUUUCGGAACACAAACUGACAGAAGAAACAAUAUUGGGACAAUUUGUUGGAUGACGAGCUAUAAGCCAUAGAAAAAUUCUUAGAAACUCUAGUUUCAAUGUUGCCUUGAAAAUUUUAACAAAACUCAAAAUAAUAGAUUGCCUCUAUGAAUGUACCACACAAUUUCUAACUUAAAUAGAAAUUCAUAGUAAAUUCAGUGGGGAACGAGGGUAAGAGAGGUAAUACUAUUUUACAAUUUUUGAAAAACUGAGUAUCAAAAUCUCAUUUUAUACAUAUACACAAUGGAAUAUUGCUGCUGCUACUGCUGCUAAGUCACGGCAGUCGUGUCCGACUCUGUGCGACCCCACAGAUGGCAGCCCACCAGGCUCCCCCGUCCCUGGGAUCCUCCAGGCAAGAACACUGGAGUGGGGUGCCAUUUCCUUUUCCAAUGCAUGAAAGUGAAAAGUGAAAGGGAAGUUGCUCAGUCGUGUCCAAUCCUCAGCGACCCCAUGGACUGCAGCCUUCCAGGCUCCUCCAUCCAUGGGAUUUUCCAGGCAAGAGUACUGGAGUGGGGUGCCAUUGCUUUCUCCGACAAUGGAAUAUUACUCAGCCAUAAAAAGGAAUGCAUUUGAGUCAUUUCUAAUGAGGUGGAUGAACCCAGAGCCUAUUAUACAGAGUGAUGUAAGUCAUAAAGAGAAAAAUAAAUAUACUAACACACAUAUAUGGAAUCUAGAAAGAUGGUGCUGAAGAAUUUAUCUGCAGGGCAGCAAUGGAGAAACAGACACAGAGAACAGACCUAUGGACACAGGGAGAGGGGAGGAGAGGGUGAGAUGUAUGGAGAGAGUAACAUGGAGACAUACAUUAUCAUAUGUAAAACAGAUAGCCAACGGGAAUUUGCUGUACGUCUCAGGAAACUCAAACAGGGCUCUGUAUCAACCUAGAGAGGUGAGAUGGAAGGGAGGUUCAAGACGGAGGGGAUACAUGUAUACCUAUGGCUGAUUCAUGUGGCUGUUUGAUAGAAAACAACACAAUUCUGUAAAGCAAUUAUCAUUCAAUUAAAAAAUAAAUUGGGCUUCCCUGGUGGCUCAGCUGGUAAAGAAUCCGCCUGCAAUGUGGGAGACCUGGGUUCUAUCCCUGGGUUGGGAAGAUCCUCUGGACAAGGGAAAGGCUGGAGAUCUCCAGUCCCUGGAGAAUUCCAUGGACUGAAUAGUCCAUGGGGUCGCAAAGAGUCAGACAUGACUGAGCAACUUUCACUUAAAAAAUAAAUUAAUUAAAAAAAAAAAAAAAGAAUCUCAUUUCAUUAAAAUAUCCAUCACUGGGCACGGAUAUAUUCAAUAUACAUUUGGCUUUGAAAUCUUUUAAUUUAGCAAUUCCACCUCUGGGAAUUUAUAUACAGAAAUGUUGGAACAAGUGCUGGAGAGUAUUUACAGUGGCUAAAAUCAGAAGCAACUAAUUACUCAUCAGCAGACAGUGUGUUAAAGAAAUAAAGUCAAUUCAUGCAAAAGAAGACUAGGUAGCUGUUAGAAAGGAAAGGACUAUGUUAUGUCCCACAUGGAAUUAUUCUCACAUAAUACUGUUAAGUUAUUCCACUUUUCUAACAAACAAACUAAUAUAUUACAUGUAAAGAAAAGAAGUCUAGGGGGAUUUAAUAUACAUACCGAACAGUGACCACCUCUGAGGAGGGAGUAAGUAUGGGGAAAAUUUUCACUGUGUUCUUUUUUUGUUGUUCAGUUGCUAAGUCGUGUCCAACUUUUUGCAACCCCAUGGACAGCAGCUGUCCUUUUUAUGUAUUGCUUGGGGCUUCCCUGAUGGCUCAGCUGGUAAACGAUCCACCUGCAAUGCAGGAGAACUGCGCUCUAUCCCUGGGUGGGGAAGAUCCCCUGGAGAAGGAAAUGGCAACCCACUUCAAUAUUCUUGCCUGGGAAAUCCCAUGGACAGAAGACCCUCGAAGGCUUUAGUCCAUGGUGUCCCAAAGAGUCGGACACACCUGAGUGACUAGCACUUAAAUGUUUUACAAUAAGGAUAGUUUUUAUAGUUUACAUAUAAAUACAUACAUGUGUAUAUAAAAGUAAUCUUAAAGUUUUACUUUUAAAAAAAAAUUUUUUUUGGCCACACCAUUCAGCAGGUGGGAUCCCAGUUCCCUGACCAGGGAUCCAACCCGUGUCCCUGCAUUGGAAGCACAGAGUCCCAACCACUGGACCCCCAGGGAAAUCCUCAAUCUGAAAGUUUUAAAGUACACUUUUAUAGAAAACAAAAAAGGAAAUGUGUUUGCUACUCUGCUUGAACUGGUCUGACAGCCCUCCUGAUAAGAUACGCAAGCUCUUACCAUCCUGCCCUCCUCUCCUGCUGAAGCGAAGCAUGGAUCCUCGGGUUCCCCAAUACAAUACAGAUCCUCUUCCCUAAGCUUGCUGCAAGGCUGACUCACCCCUUCCUUCUCUAAGGCUCGGGGAGGGGGGAGUGUUGGGAGGGAACCAUAACUUGACUGUUAGUAGUUCAGCCAGUUGGAAAACGGGGUCUCAGACUCAUCCCUCUUUCAGCUGACCGCAGGCCAAGGAUGAAUGUGUCAAAGGGAAGCCAAUUCUGGCCUCCCGUUGGCAAAGGGCUUAACUUCUAGGCAAACUUAGCUGGGAUUAAUUUUUGCCCAUAUCGGACAAUGAUUUUAACACAAGGGUCAGGAUGGUCUGAUUCUGGCUUCCCUUCUUUUGGGGCUAAAUGUAGAGAACUGAGUCAAAGGACUGAGUCACUCAGUCACUCCAGUUCCAGCACUGACUCGCCUCCCAUCAUUAAAGGGACAGUUGUGUCUGAGUUCCUCAGCUGGGAGGCCAGUGUAGGGGUUUCAAAGAACCCAGGUGCCUGUGGCAGCUGUCUGGUUCUGGUGGAGGAAGAAGGGACCACGCCUGGGACACAGGAGACUGGGUAUGACACAGGCCCAAGAAGGGGUCUCUGUCACUCUCGAGUAACUGUCAGACAUUCCAUGGACCCUCAGGAAGCAAAAUAAAGGGGGCAGGUUCCAGAGAGCGUGGGGGAGGCUGAGUCACCUUUGCCCACAGCCAAAGCAGCAACUGCUUGCAAGCUAUACUUGAGGGUUUUGGGGAAAGCCAUUGAGCCUCAAAAUACUACUCCUAUUAUCCUAUGAUAGCUACUGAAAUUCAGCUCUUAGAGAUUUUUUCCUUUUGACUGAGACUUUAUGCAUGUUAAAUGGCAAGCUACUUCUCCCAGCUUCUUUCCAAUCUAGAAGACAGAGGUCGGAGAACAUAUAUACUUGAAUAUCAGGAGGGAAAUAGAAAGAAUCCACAGCUUAGAGGCUCAGAAAUCAAGACAGACAGAACUAUAUGGGUCCCAGGCAGAGAGAGAAAGGUACCAAAGAUUUUCAGUUUUGGCUAAGGUGAAGCACUGCAUCCGAUAGUAUUAGACCAAGCAGACCUAACUGUAGAAGGCCUGUGAUUAUGCUUUUAGACUUACUGUUAAAAACUACUUUAUACACAUAUACAUACUAGCUUCUUACCUGUAUCUGUUCAAGGUGGCUUUAGAUCUUGAUGGUGAAGGCUGACUAGCCAGCUGAUUUCAUUGUAAGCAACAGGCUUCCAAAUUUUAAAUUCUACAAGGUCUUUGUUUUUGGAAUCUGCGAUUUCAGUCCCCUCUGGUGACGAGCCCUCUAGGUGAUGGCUAAAAGCAACCUCGCUCAACUGUGGAAGUACCUUAAAAUCACCUGGGACCUUUUAAAAAUACUGAUACCCAGGGCCUGUUCUUAGAAAUUCUGAUUGACUUGGUCUGGAGCGGGGCCUGGGCAUCAGUUGUUUAAAAUAAACGCCUCCCCUCAGCACUUAAACGUGUAUUCUAAGGUGUACCCUGAGUUUAAAAUGCUAAGAAUUGUGAUGGGAGGGCAGAUGGGGUAGAUUAUCAUUACCGCGUCGUUAAAUUACCUACUCAACUUAAGACUUCUACAGUGGGCAAGCAGUGCUUUAAACUUUGGAGGGCACGUUAAGAAUGCACUGACAUAGAUUCUGCAGCUUCACCCUUCUGCAGAAACCAAUAGGAAGGGCCUGGCCAGAUGAGCGGCGGAGUGCAGAACCACCCAGCUCACACCCCCUGUUCCUCUGCAACAUUCCUUACGUUGCAGUGAACAGUUUUCCUGCCCUCCCUGACCUCAGCAGAGUAGAGCUCUGGUGUCUUGAGCCCCACCCUUUCCCCCACCCCUAGGAGAAGCCUUAACAUUAGGUCGGAGGGCACAAAGGCCUGGACAACUGGGAGAACCGGACUUACCCAGCUAAACGGGAUCCUCAGAUGCUCCUUUCACUGUUUCUCUUUGGUCAGGAUUUCCGAAGCCAAUCUUCACAACACUCUGCCUUACCAGGUUCCUUUUCCAGACCAGUCUCAGCCCACCUGCCUAUGGGCUAUACCAGGAUUUUCCUGCUUCCCCCUUCAUGGCUGGGCACUGGGAUGCUGUGCUCGCUACAUUCAUCAGAGUAGGUAUCAUCUCUUCCUCCAUUGGAGUGCCCAUGGCUCCUCCAUAGGAUUCCCUGGGCCCGCACUGCCCUAUGUCGCCACUGCCCACAGGCCUGAGCUAGCUGCAUUCGGCACCCCACAGAAAUCCAGUAUGUCCUCAAGUCAUAACAGGAAGAUGGUAUAGG
ensembl:lncRNA